GACGAACGCUGGCGGCGUGCCUAAUACAUGCAAGUCGAACGAGAGCGACCGGUGCUUGCACUGGUCAAUCUAGUGGCGAACGGGUGAGUAACACGUGGGUAACCUGCUCAUCAGAGGGGGAUAAAAUCCGGAAACGGAUGCUAAAACCGCAUAGGUCUUCGAGCCGCAUGGCUUGAAGAGGAAAAGAGGCGCAAGCUUCUGCUGAUGGAUGGACCCGCGGUGCAUUAGCUAGUUGGUGAGGUAACGGCUCACCAAGGCCGUGAUGCAUAGCCGACCUGAGAGGGUGAUCGGCCACAUUGGGACUGAGACACGGCCCAAACUCCUACGGGAGGCAGCAGUAGGGAAUCUUCCGCAAUGGACGCAAGUCUGACGGAGCAACGCCGCGUGAGUGAAGAAGGUUUUCGGAUCGUAAAACUCUGUUGUUAGAGAAGAACAAGUGCUAGAGUAACUGUUAGCGCCUUGACGGUAUCUAACCAGAAAGCCACGGCUAACUACGUG
rnacentral:rRNA from 1 species